rnacentral:rRNA from 1 species
GACGAACGCUGGCGGCGUGCCUAAUACAUGCAAGUCGAACGCUUCUUUCCUCCCGAGUGCUUGCACUCGAUUGGAAAGAGGAGUGGCGGACGGGUGAGUAACACGUGGGUAACCUACCCAUCAGAGGGGGAUAACACUUGGAAACAGGUGCUAAUACCGCAUAACAGUUUAUGCCGCAUGGCAUAAGAGUGAAAGGCGCUUUCGGGUGUCGCUGAUGGAUGGACCCGCGGUGCAUUAGCUAGUUGGUGAGGUAACGGCUCACCAAGGCCACGAUGCAUAGCCGACCUGAGAGGGUGAUCGGCCACACUGGGACUGAGACACGGCCCAGACUCCUACGGGAGGCAGCAGUAGGGAAUCUUCGGCAAUGGACGAAAGUCUGACCGAGCAACGCCGCGUGAGUGAAGAAGGUUUUCGGAUCGUAAAACUCUGUUGUUAGAGAAGAACAAGGACGUUAGUAACUGAACGUCCCCUGACGGUAUCUAACCAGAAAGCCACGGCUAACUACGUGCCAGCAGCCGCGGUAAUACGUAGGUGGCAAGCGUUGUCCGGAUUUAUUGGGCGUAAAGCGAGCGCAGGCGGUUUCUUAAGUCUGAUGUGAAAGCCCCCGGCUCAACCGGGGAGGGUCAUUGGAAACUGGGAGACUUGAGUGCAGAAGAGGAGAGUGGAAUUCCAUGUGUAGCGGUGAAAUGCGUAGAUAUAUGGAGGAACACCAGUGGCGAAGGCGGCUCUCUGGUCUGUAACUGACGCUGAGGCUCGAAAGCGUGGGGAGCAAACAGG